AUUGAACGCUGGCGGCAGGCCUAACACAUGCAAGUCGAGCGAGUGGCGGACGGGUGAGUAAUGUCUGGGAAACUGCCUGAUGGAGGGGGAUAACUACUGGAAACGGUAGCUAAUACCGCAUACCAUCAGAUGUGCCCAGAUGGGAGUAGCUAGUAGGUGGGGUAAUGGCUCACCUAGGCGACGAUCCCUAGCUGGUCUGAGAGGAGGACCAGCCACACGGGAACUGAGACACGGUCCAGACUCCUACGGGAGGCAGCAGUGGGGAAUAUUGCACAAUGGGCGCAAGCCUGAUGCAGCCAUGCCGCGUGUGUGAAGAAGGCCUUCGGGUUGUAAAGCACUUUCAGCGGGGAGGCGUUACUCGCAGAAGAAGCACCGGCUAACUCCGUGCCAGCAGCCGCGGUAAUAC
rnacentral:rRNA from 1 species